UAAGUGGAAGCCCGUUCGGGUUAUCCCAUUUAAGUAAGGAAAUAUUUUAAUUAUAAAAUCCUUUUUCUUUUAUUUCCCCAGACCCAUUGCCGUUUUCCCCCAAAAACCACCGAGAUCCCGACCUCUUUUCCCCGAUUCCCCUUCUCUUCUCCCUCACACGCUCUCUUCUCUUGAUGCCAUCGCCGACAUGGGAGCCGCCAAUCAUCUUCUCUUUGUCGGCGCAGCCUCAUCGCUGAUCGCCAGAGAGAUCGCACCGACGGGUCGAGCCUUCCUCCUCCUUUUCUUCGAGGUGUGGAGUCUUUUCCCUUCCCCGCGUUUGAGUCCACCGUCGGCUAUCGAGUCCGAACGAGGCAGCAACGAGUUCGUCAAGGAGGUUCGUCAGUUAACCCUCUUCACCAGAUCUCGAUUCUUUGACUUCGUCAGCAUGGAUUUGUGGCCGAUCCUCCUCUCGAUUUCUUCCGCCCGAUGCUGAGUCACAAUGCCGUCAACGCCAAUCAACCCACCGCCGUUCACUUGAUCGCUACCCGACGCCACCUUGUUGUUGGGUGCCACUGCCACCGAAGGGAGGGUCGACACAAAGGAAGAUGGGUUUGUUCUCUCCUUAGCUUGAGGAUCGGGCAGAGUAAAGGAGGUUGCCACUGGAGGGAUCCCUGCUGCGGAGCCAUAGAACUCUUCCCCUAUCACACGGAUCCCUUCACUGGAGUGGUACCACAACCCCUGUCCCAGCAAGCUCGCCAUCUUUGCACUUCCUUCCGAUCACACACCUUGCCAUCUCGGAUGAGUUGCUAAGAUCCUAUGUAUGAUGAAAUGCUUAGUUCCUUUUGUGGUCUCGGUUCGUGUCGUCAAUGCCGUCAUCGGUUACCAUCUUCCAUGGGUAGUUCUUGGAUCAGUGGUACAUGUGAGAAACCAAGCUCAGUAGGAUCUCCUCUGCUAACAAGUCGUCGGCCCAAGGUCGCACGGAUCAUGGUUAUGCCACCCUUUCACACGAUGGUGCCUAUACUAAUCAUGCCAUUGUGAUAGUCUCCACCAGCCAUUGGUUGCAUUUGGCUCCUUCACCGAGAAGCUGCUACAGAUAUGGAAUUGAGGACUUUGUUUCGGGACGAGCAUCUUGAUAUCGGAUUUCGGGAUACGAUUGACAGAUAAA